UUUGGUUUUGUUGUUGUUGUUUGUUUGUUGUUUGUUUGGCCACACUUACUUUAUCCCUCCUAAUUAUCAGCACCUCUCAAGAUUUGGUGGCAUGGAACAUGGCUGCAAACUUGGUUUCCAGGAUGGGGGAAAUCUUGUUAACCAACCCAGGAAGAGAGCCUGGACCUCAUGAGACAGUCCCAGUCUCCCUUUGCUAAGUUAUUGCAUGUGUUACUGGCUUCUGGUAGGUCAGAUCUAAUAAAAAGUAGCAUUUCAUUUGUCUCCUGUCACUGGAGCUGGGCAGCUUCAGAAUAUCAAACAGUUUCAUCUCAUGUAAAUAUCAGUGUAUUAUUGCAAGUAAAUCGGGUCAGGGUGGUUAUCCCAGUGCUCAUUUUUAUCUUGUGCUGUUGAGGAAUGGCAGGUAGCCAGCAAACCAUUCGGGGAAUUCUGCAUUCUGUCAUCUGUCUUCUGGCAGCAGGCAGGGCAUGCUUUCUCUCUACCACUGUAUUUGCUAUAACUCACUGUAAAAAUUGGUACAUUUUAUACAAGGAGUCAGAUGUUCUCAGCUUCACUUUGUAUCCUAAGUGGAAUUUUACUGUCUGCUGUCAUGGACUUCUAAUUCUUAUUACAUUGAAAAUAAAUAGGAGUAGUUUGGCUUCCCCACAGCCUUUGAGCCUGGCAAUGUGCACUGACAGAGCUGCAGCCUUGUGUGUUGUCUCCAGCAGCAGCAAGGGCUUAUAAGCACUGUGCACUUCAUAAACAGAGCACCCAGGCAUGCCCCACCUCAAACAAUUUAAUUUCCAGAGUUUAGAAAUGUAGGUUUCUAGGAAUUAAUCAAUCCAGCUCAAUUAAAACCAACCGACCCAGCAGACGUGCUAGAAUCUGUGACACCAAUACAAGGAGCAGGCCACAAGGAUGGCACCUCCUUUGGCUGUUGACCAUGAUCUGGCAGCCUGGAUUUCUACUGCAUUGGGAGAGACAAAACAGGGAAGGAAAAAACAUGGAAGUAUUAUUCCAGAACUCCAUGAUCUCCUUAAUGACUGAAACUUCCAGGGCAAUAAAAUUAAGCAGUUAAAAAGAAACUUUUUUCCAUUCACAGCAGGAUUUUAAGGAAGGACAAAACAUGCUGAUAGCCAAUAAAUUAAUUUAUCUUUACCUCUUGGAUUGUUUGUUUUCUUGGUUUUGUUUUUUUUUUUCCUUGAGUGAUAUUAAAGCUUGCACUUCCCAAAGGAGCAUUAAUGAAGUUGCAGUCCUCAUGGCACACAGACAGAGGUGCCACUCCCUGGUGCUGCUGCACAGUAUAAUCCUUGAGCUCAAUGCACCCACCAGAUCCUCAUGUCACACGGACACUGCAACAUGCAAAGAAUAACUUAAAGGCCCAAAUGUCUUAAGACAGCAUCUGGAUAAAAAUCAGUCUCAGCUCAAAUCUAACCAGAAUGUAAUUUUUGUAUCAAUCUCUCUCCUUCUAAUCCCUUGUAGGUGGAUUUCAGAAAAUUAUAUUAAUAAAACAGUGGACAGAGUGGCUAUUUGAAGUGUAACAAACUUCAAUUAUUAUUUCAUUGAAUGCAUGUACAUACAUCUUAUUAAAAGUCAUAAAUUAUAAGAGAAAAUGAAGCUGUCCAUAGCCACAUAUAAUGAGCAUUUUAGGAAAAAAAAUACUAUAUAAUUGAUAAAUGUAGUAUUUAAUGUAUUAACUAAUGAAUGCUUACAAAAAAGGCUGUUUGACAGAUGUCUGUAUAAACUUAAAAGAUAGUUAUUAAUAACCUUCCCUUAUAAAAAUAAAUGUCUUUUCAAAUUAUUUAAUAAACUACUUUUUGAAAGUUUGAUAUGCAAGGAUAUAGUACUUUUCCCAAUAUUACUCUGAUUUAUAGCCACAGUUUAGAUAUUACACGUCUUUCACCACACGUAUCUUUUAUACUGUCAAAUAGAAAUGCUAGGGGACAUCAACUGAUAUAAAUAAUCCACAGCUGCACACAAAUCAUGACUACUGAUUAGUAAAGCAAUUAUCAUAUUAAAAGAGUUCAACAGGGCUCAACAUACUGUAAAAUUAGAAAUCAGUCAAUACCGCAGCCAUUAUAUAGAAUAGCAUUGAUCGGAUGUACUAAACGUGAGCCUUGAUGACAAUUGAUCACAAUGAACUCUGCUCACAGAGGAGUCUGGUACACUAAUUGAGGAGCCAUCCUUAAACAGAAUAAUAAAUAGAGGAGGAGGGGAGAGGAGAAAUGGCUAAGGUGCUGCCUUUCUGUGUAGCGAAACAAUAAAAAACCAAAGAACCAGGAAGGCUUCUGUAUGCUGGAUGUCCACCAAAUUCCAAGCCUCCUUUUCAAACACCAAAUGAACCUGUCAGCUCCUCACAGGUCAUCUCCACAGUCUGUGCCACAGCUGGGAAACCUGCUCAAAAGAGUCUGAACAACACCUCAGAAGAAACAUUUCCAAAAGAAAAUCACAGAAGAGGCCAGAAACCCCAGAAGUGUCAUCUGUGACACAUGUGACCAAUCUCCAGUGGUCUGCUUGAAAUCAGGACUCAGACUGCACAUGUAACCAAAAUUUGUUCCUUAGAGUGAGGAGCUGCCCAGGCUGCUUUUCUUGGUUUUGUUCACAGCAAGCUGCACAUGGAAGAGUUUGAGUGAAACACUGUGUUAUUAAAUUUGGCACUAACAGUUCUCACUACAGCUCAAGGAAAUGCAUGCUGGUAGAAAACAAGCUCCGAACAUCUUCAUUAUCCUGAAAACUUAUUCUGAAAGUAUCCCCAGCCCCAGAUGAAGAUCAAACAGCAUCAAGGUACUGAAGAAACUCAUUCCAGCAAAUGCAAAUACUGUACUGCCUCCAGGAACAUCCCAGGUUUGUCACCUCUACUGAGUGUUAAAAUAAAAUUAAAUUUAAUUUAAUUUUUAAAAAAAGCUCAGGGGUUAGACCCCUACCUGAUUUUGAAUGAACUAAAAGACAGUUCUGAUUUUGGUUUGUGACAGGGAAGAGAUGGCCUGGAGAAACCCCACACAGCAAAGGCUGCUGAAACUUCAAGCAAGCACAAGUUUUGCAGGGAGUAAACCACGAUAAGUGUUCAAAAAUGCAUUGCUCAGAGUAUGCAACGUUAUUUCUACGUUUUCAUGGUUUCCUGGAAAUGGGAGAGCAGGUUGUGCAAUGUGGCAGCCGCCCUCUGGCCACAGAGAGCAAUGCACAACUUUCCCAGGCACUGUCCUGGGGAAGGCUCUGAGAAGAUCAGAGAAAAGAAUGAUAAACAACUCUUAUCUUCACUUGCUGCACCUGUUGUUGUGAGCAUGUGGAAUAUGUUACGGAGAUUUGUUUACCAAAGGGUGAUUUCUUAAUUGGCCAGCGGUGAUGGUGUUUGGAAUCGAGGGCCAAUUAGGCAAAACGGUAUCAGACUGUCGGGAAGGGCGAUGGGCUUGUUAAUAAGUAUAAUAUAGUAUAAUAAAGCGAUUGAUCAGCCUUCUGGAAUCAUGAAGUCAAUGCUAAUUGUGUCCCCGCGGGGACCCACGCCACCACAGUGCCAGGCAGUUUGCUGCCAAUGACCGGACGCCACCAGAUGGCCCUCGCUGCUCAGCCAUGCACCUUGAACAGCCAGCCAGACGGGAAAAGUCAGAGAUGAGCAUUUAAACGUUCCCAAAUGUAAGACAGCAGUAGAAAAAGACAUUCGAAGCCAAAGGAAUAAAGGACUUGAGCUACACCAGUCAGUUUUGUUACAGGGAAAGAUCCUUAUAAAAAUGAGCACAC
rnacentral:lncRNA from 1 species